UCUUGCACAUGUAGGCUUGUUUUGUUUCAAAUCAUUUAUCAAAACUUACUAGGUCAUUUUAGGUGGUUUAUGAUUUAGAGUUUAGUUAUCUAAAAGGUAUUUAGUCAUUUUGAGAACUUAGGUAAUGUUUGGUUUAGGAUUUAGAGUUCAGUUAUUUCGAGAAAGGUAUUUUAGUCAUUUUGGGAAGAAAUCAUUUUCUUCGGAUAAAUAGUCUCACCUAGACAAAAUUAUCUCAAAUAUCCAUAUAACAAAACAAGGGUGCUUUUGAAUUAAGAUGGGACAUUUGUCUAUGUGUUAAAAUGUAGACUGUCAGAUUGAUUCAAUCUAAGGGUUAGAUAUAUAACUUGAAUAAAAGGGUACGUUCAUUUUUACUCCAGAUCCAACGGCCCUCCUACAAUCCACCCUCAUAUGGCCGUUGUGUUUCAAAUUUUGAAACUCCAAUCUAUAAAUUCUGCAGAGCUCUCCUUCUCAGUCUCCUCAUCUCAUAUAUCUCUCAUCUCUCUCUCUCCCCCCUUUAUCUAAGCUCCAACCUUGCCCCUUCCUCUUGGACAUCGCCUCACCACUUCCUUACCUCAGCCUCAUGUCAUAGCAAUGGUAAGGCUUAGGGAUUGUUUGAUUUACUGCUUGAUUUUGCUAGAGUUUGAAGUCGGCAAUGAAAUUGAUUCCAAGCUCCUGUAGUGGCAUUGCAGAUCGAGAAUCCUUCAACUUGAUUCUCUUUGGUUCAAAGAUCCUAACAACAAAUCCAGUUGAUGUUGGCAGGUCAAUUGAUUGGUUUGAGGCAAAGGUGCUGUUGGGUAUGAAGUGAGAAAAAGCCGUGAAUUUCAUGUAAUAAUAUUUUGAAAUGGUUUAGAUUUUAGAAACCCAUCUUCAUGUAAUGAUUUUUUUAUUUAUUUUUAAAAUGGGUUAGAUUUAAAUGUGUUUCUGAAUGGUUUUGAUUUCAAAAAUAUUAAAAUAAUAAAUGAACCAGCACAAUUAUUUAAAUGAGUUUCUAAAUAGAUUUCCAAAGGGAAAUAAUGCAUCCCCUAAAAUGGAGCUCUAAACAAUGCUUAGAGCUCUAUAUACUUGGCAAUGAAAAACAAAGAAGACCAAAACAUCAUAUCGCAUGAGACCCACCACCCCUUAGAGCCCCAUUAGAGCUCUUAUUUUAAAGCUCUAAAAUAUUUUUGAUUUCUAAAAUCAAUUUUCAUGUACUGAUUUUCGGAAAACCUAUCUUUUUUUUGUUUAAUUAGUUCCCCUAUGUAACUAUUCUGUUUAUAUCAAGCAUUAAUUAUGUUUUUCUCAUUCUCUUUUCAACUGUUCCGUUUCUCUACUUAAUGUUUAAUUCAGUUUCAUUCUCUCUCUUUCCUUUUUUAGUUGUGGUAAGUAUCUUUUAUAAGUAUUUGGUUGUAAUCUUUAUUUUAAAAAAAUAGUACACUUAAUUUUAUUUAAUGAACAUUGGAUUUAUUUUUAGUUAGAUUUGCCCAAUAACAUUGAUUUCAAGUUUGAUUCUUUUUUUUGUUGCCUACUAAUUGUUAUACAUAAUGUUUCAACUAGAAAAUGAGGUAUGCAUUAUCACAGGGAUGGAAACUCAAAGGAGCAUGAUCAUCCAAAAAUGGAUACUUCACACAUGGUGACUAAUCCGUAUUACAAAUGUUGGGUUAUAUUACUUCUAUCUGUGAGUCGUUGGUCGGCUCUCUCAUUCUAAACAAAAUGAUUAAUAUAUUUUUUUUGGUUAGCUAGGAUGAUUCUUUUGUAUCAAAAUGUUCAUUGACCUUUAUUUAAAGACAUUGAAAUCUGAUAAAGCGAAAGGUUAUUUGGACUUUAAUUUUGAAAUUUGUAAAUGCUUUCACUAAUUCAAUGUGUUGAAACAAUUUCAGUUUCUUAUAUAUAAAGUUUUAAAUUAGAGUGUUAUUACCAUUUUGAAUUGAUUUAUUACCAUUGAGGGGUUGUUUGGGAUGUUCUAAAUAAGUGUAUUUUUAACUUUUUAUGAAAUAUG